AGAGUUUGAUCCUGGCUCAGAACGAACGCUGGCGGCGUGGAUUAGGCAUGCAAGUCGAACGCGAAAGGGGAGCAAUCCCCGAGUAGAGUGGCGAACGGGUGAGUAACGCGUGAAGAACCUGCCUUCAACAGGGGGAUAACACUCCCAACGGGGUGCUAAAACCGCAUGAGACCACAGGUCCGCAUGGACCAGGGGUCAAAGGUGGCCUCUACUUGUAAGCUACCGGUUGAAGAUGGCUUCGCGUCCCAUUAGCUAGUUGGCGGUGUAAAAGACCACCAAGGCGACGAUGGGUAGCUGGUCUGAGAGGAUGGUCAGCCACACUGGGACUGAGAUACGGCCCAGACUCCUACGGGAGGCAGCAGUCGAGAGGCUUUGGCAAUGGGGGAAACCCUGACCAAGCGACGCCGCGUGGAGGAUGAAGGCCCUUGGGUUGUAAACUCCUUUUGUCGGGGAAGAAACGCGAUCAGGUGAACAAUCUGGUCGUUUGACGGUACCCGGCGAAUAAGCUCCGGCUAACUCCGUGCCAGCAGCCGCGGUAACACGGGGGGAGCAAGCGUUGUUCGGAAUCACUGGGCGUAAAGGGCGUGUAGGCGGUCAGGUAAGUGAGACGUGAAAUGCCCCGGCUUACCCGGGGACCUGCGUCUCAUACUGCUUGGCUUGAGUACGGGAGAGGGUGUGGGAAUUCCUGGUGUAGCGGUGAAAUGCGUAGAUAUCAGGAGGAACACCGGUGGCGAAGGCGCACACCUGGCCCGAUACUGACGCUGAGGCGCGAAAGCUAGGGGAGCAAACGGGAUUAGAUACCCUAGUAGUCC
rnacentral:rRNA from 1 species